rnacentral:lncRNA from 1 species
AGCUGCUAGGUUGGUGAACACAUGGAGGUGCGGGGAGGGUGGCGAGCCCAGCGAGGACGUGGAUUCCCCACGGCCCUUCCCACAUACCCCGUUCUUUCAUUUGGCUGUUUCUGAGUUGUGUGCUUUAUAAUCAACUGACAAUGUUCCAGCUCUUGAAGACGACAUAAUCCUUCAUGCCUUAGUCUUCACAUAUGUUGAACCCUCUGACCAGAUAUCUGUUCCUUAUUUCUCUGCCUGUUCAACAGUCGCAAUUCACCUCCAAUGAUUACUGUCUGAAGUCAUUCUUCAGAAUUCAACUCUUCUUUAUUGGUCUCUUACUGUGGCACGUGUUAGGAGAAAUACUAGAAAAUUCCCUUGAAGACUAGCUGGCAUGCCCCAACAGGAAACUUGACAAAGUUUCCUUAGUAAUGACUUCUGAAGGCCAUUUUGCUCUAAAUAUAUACUUUAAAUAAAUUAUCCCUUUGUCUUGUCAGAAUCAUUUGUAUGGUCAGAAUCAUUUGAAUAUUUAGAUAUAAUGAAUUUAAUGAUC